rnacentral:rRNA from 1 species
GCCAGCUAUUUAGGUUGGGCACUCGUAAGGGGACUGCCGGUGAUAAGCCGAGAGGAAGGUGGGGAUGACGUCAAGUCCUCAUGGCCCUUACGGGCUGGGCUACACACGUGCUACAAUGGUGGUGACAGUGGGCAGCGAGCACGCGAGUGUGAGCUAAUCUCCAAAAGCCAUCUCAGUUCGGAUUGCACUCUGCAACUCGAGUGCAUGAAGUUGGAAUCGCUAGUAAUCGCGGAUCAGCAUGCCGCGGUGAAUACGUUCCCGGGCCUU